GCCCAGGUGAUGAAAUUGGUAGACAUGCACCCUUGAGGGGGGUGUGUCCUUAUGGACGUGCUGGUUCAACUCCAGUCCUGGGCA
rnacentral:tRNA from 1 species